UGCUGGAGAUACAAAGAAAGGCAAAAGACAGUGCCUGCCCUCAAGGAGCUCACAGUCGAAUGG
rnacentral:miRNA from 1 species